CCUACGGGAGGCAGCAGUGGGGAAUAUUGCACAAUGGGGGCAACCCUGAUGCAGCGAUGCCGCGUGAGUGAAGAAGUAAUUCGUUACGUAAAGCUCUAUCAGCAGGGAAGAAAACGUUGGUACCAGUGAACGAAGCCCCGGCUAACUACCUGACAGCAGCCGCGGUAAUACGUAGGGGGCAAGCGUUAUCCGGAAUUACUGGGUGUAAAGGGAGCGUAGACGGUGUGCCAAGUCUGGAGUGAAAUGCCUCGGCUGAACGGCGGAACUGCUUUGGAAACUGGCGGGCUAGAGUGCGGUAGAGGUGAGCAGAAUUCCUGGUGUAGCGGUGAAAUGCGUAGAGAUUUGGAGGAAUACCGGUGGCGAAGGCGGCUUACUGGACCAAGACUGACGUUGAGGUUCGAAAGCGUGGGGAGCAAACAGGAUUAGAUACCCGAGUAGUC
rnacentral:rRNA from 1 species